UAAUACGGAGGGUGCGAGCGUUAAUCGGAAUUACUGGGCGUAAAGCGCGCGUAGGCGGCUAGGUCAGUCGGAUGUGAAAGCCCCGGGCUUAACCUGGGAAUUGCAUUCGAUACUGCCUGGCUAGAGUAUGGGAGAGGGAAGCGGAAUUUCCGGUGUAGCGGUGAAAUGCGUAGAUAUCGGAAGGAACACCAGUGGCGAAGGCGGCUUCCUGGCCCAAUACUGACGCUCAGGUGCGAAAGCGUGGGUAGCGAACAGGAUUAGAUACCCUGGUAGUCCACGCCGUAAACGAUGAGAACUAGAUGUCGGGAGGAUUUACCUUUCGGUGUCGCAGCUAACGCAUUAAGUUCUCCGCCUGGGGAGUACGCCGGCAACGGUA
rnacentral:rRNA from 1 species